rnacentral:rRNA from 1 species
UACGUAGGGGGCCGAGCGUUGUCCGGAGUUAUUGGGCGUAAAGCGCGCGCAGGCGGCCUCGCGCGCCCGACGUGAAAGCCCCCCGGCUUAACCGGGGAGGGUCGUUGGGGGACGGCGGGGGCUUGAGGGGCGGGAGAGGGAAGCGGAAUUCCCGGUGUAGUGGUGAAAUGCGUAGAUAUCGGGAGGAACACCAGUGGCGAAGGCGGCUUCCUGGCCUGUUCUUGACGCUGAGGCGCGAAAGCUAGGGGGAGCAAAACGGG